rnacentral:piRNA from 1 species
UGCCAUGCCAUGAAUAUUUAACCAUAGAA